CUACGCCGUACGAAAGCUAAACUAGAUUUGGAGUUUUGAAAGCGUUCUUUCAUCUUCUUCCUUAAAAAUCUGAGAGGCAACCAGUUACAGACUUACAGGUUCAUCCUCUUAAAAUCGUUGCUUUAAUCCAUUAGCCACGAUCUCUCUUCAAUGCCAAUUUGACUCCUGCGAGGCGGUGUAACUGCAGCUAUAAAAAGGUUGGCUUUCCUACUUUGAGAAUCAUCUCAUCAUCCAGUCCAAACAAACCAGUAUCACUAUUUUCGGAGAAAUUUUCUUUCUGCUUUGAAGACCGGACGCUCCUCCUCCAAUGUACAAGUGCGGUUGCUCUAUUUAUGGGAUGCCAGGAACGUCCAACUAGACGAACUCAUGGGAGUGAAUAUGCUUCUACUGGAUUCACAGAGGAAGGUCGAAGAGAAGAUGAGGAAUCUGACAUGAAUGGGAGGAGGGCUCAUGCACAAUGUAUCUGCAGUAUCUUUCCAGCCUGAGCUUCCAAUAAUACUCACAGGUUUUGAGGAUGGCACUGUUCGCAUUUGGCACCCUAUGACGUUAGAGAACACACUGAAUUAUGCUCUUGAGUUUGCGCCAUUGGUUACAUAAAAAGUUUGCGCCAGUCAGUUUCUGAAUUUAUGCUUCCGCAUUUUACGUUUCUGAUUUGUUCUUAGUUUCCUUCUGAAAUUGACGAUUUGGAGAGCUAAUAGCGCUUGGAAUUGCUAAGAGGUGUUGAUGGAUCAGUGUUAUAUAAUACAAGACCAUGAAAAACAAAUGUGUUUUCGUUUUACAGGGUUUACAUCGUGAUGCAUGGUAUUUCUGUGUUUA